UACGUAGGUGGCAAGCGUUGUCCGGAUUUACUGGGUGUAAAGGGCGUGUAGCCGGGUUGACAAGUCAGAUGUGAAAUCCUGCGGCUUAACCGCAGAACUGCAUUUGAAACUGUUGAUCUUGAGUACUGGAGAGGCAGACGGAAUUCCUAGUGUAGCGGUGAAAUGCGUAGAUAUUAGGAGGAACACCAGUGGCGAAGGCGGCUUACUGGACGGCAACUGACGCUGAGGCUCGAAAGCGUGGGGAGCAAACAGG
rnacentral:rRNA from 1 species